UUUGAAAUCUGGCCUCCGGGUCCGAGUUGUAAUUUGCAGAGGAUGCUUUUGGCGAGGUGCCUUCCGAGUUCCCUGGAACGGGACGCCAUAGAGGGUGAGAGCCCCGUCUGGUCGGACACCGAGCCUCUGUAAAGCUCCUUCGACGAGUCGAGUAGUUUGGGAAUGCUGCUCAAAAUGGGAGGUAUAUGUCUUCUAAAGCUAAAUAUUGGCCAGAGACCGAUAGCGCACAAGUAGAGUGAUCGAAAGAUGAAAAGCACUUUGAAAAGAGGGUUAAAAAGUACGUGAAAUUGUUGAAAGGGAAGCGCCUAUUACCAGACUUGGGCCCGGUGAAUCACCCAGCGUUCUCGCUGGUGCACUUUGCCGGGCACAGGCCAGCAUCAGUUUGGCGCGGGGGAUAAAGGUUUCGGGAAUGUGGCUCCCUCGGGAGUGUUAUAGCCCGUUGCGUAAUACCCUGCGCCGGACUGAGGUACGCGCAUUACAAGGAUGCUGGCGUAAUGGUCAUCAGCGACCCGUCUUGAAACACGGACCAAGGAGUCGUCUUCGUAUGCGAGUGUUCGGGUGUCAAACCCCUACGCGUAAUGAAAGUGAACGUAGGUGAGAGCUUCGGCGCAUCACCGACCGAUCCUGAUGUUCUCGGAUGGAUUUGAGUAAGAGCAUACGGGGCCGGACCCGAAAGAAGGUGAACUAUGCCUGUAUAGGGUGAAGCCAGAGGAAACUCUGGUGGAGGCUCGCAGCGGUUCUGACGUGCGAAUCGAUCGUCAAAUAUGGGCAUGGGGGCGAAAGACUAAUCGAACCUUCUAGUAGCUGGUUUC
rnacentral:rRNA from 1 species